AUACGGAGCGACCAGCACUAAUGCAGGAAGCUGCGUGCUUGGGCGAGAGUAGUACUAGGAUGGGUGACCUCCCGGGAAGUCCUCGUGUUGCAUCCC